rnacentral:rRNA from 1 species
GAGUUUGAUCGUGGCUCAGAUUGAACGCUGGCGGCAUGCCUUACACAUGCAAGUCGAACGGCAGCACGGGAGCUUGCUCCUGGUGGCGAGUGGCGAACGGGUGAGUAAUGCAUCGGAACGUAUCCUGGAGUGGGGGAUAACGUAGCGAAAGUUACGCUAAUACCGCAUAUUCUGUGAGCAGGAAAGCGGGGGACCUUCGGGCCUCGCGCUCUUGGAGCGGCCGAUGUCGGAUUAGCUAGUUGGUGAGGUAAAGGCUCACCAAGGCGACGAUCCGUAGCAGAUCCUGAGAGGAUGAUCUGCCACACUGGAACUGAGACACGGUCCAGACUCCUACGGGAGGCAGCAGUGGGGAAUUUUGGACAAUGGGGGCAACCCUGAUCCAGCCAUGCCGCGUGAGUGAAGAAGGCCUCGGUUGUAAG